UACAGAGGGGGCAAGCGUUGUUCGGAAUUAUUGGGCGUAAAGGGUGCGUAGGCGGUUUGGUAAGUCUUAUGUGAAAUCUACAGGCUCAACUUGUAGUCUGCAUGAGAAACUGCCGGGCUUGAGUAUGGGAGAGGUGAGUGGAAUUCCUGGUGUAGCGGUGAAAUGCGUAGAUAUCAGGAGGAACACCUGUGGCGAAAGCGGCUCACUGGACCAUAACUGACGCUGAUGCACGAAAGCUAGGGGAGCAAACAGG
rnacentral:rRNA from 1 species